UUUUCCUUUGGCUAAGGUCACCUAGGAAACACAGAUGGCCUGCAUUCCUUCACCCCAGCUCUUAAAAACUCCUGCCCUUUGUUUCAGUGGAGCUGGUAUUCAGAAUUGGUCUUGCUGUCUCUCCUAUUGCUGGAAACAGGGUUGGAAGCAAUCAGCUUCUGUCUUCAUCUUCUUCAGUUCAAUUUUCUCCUUUAGCAGGUAUUAUCUUCUGUUUCUGUUGCAUCUGUUCUGGAUGUCUCUGAUCCACCAUGACUUCCAGUUACCUGAUCCAUAGUCUACAUAUCCAUUCUUCCAAUGGACCAUGAAAUUGAAUUGGGACCUGUGCUGUAAGAAAUCGCCCAGAAUGUCACAGGAGACUGGCACACACCCUCUAAUGAGAAAACAUUUCACAAGCAACAAAAACCACGGUCAAAAAUAAUCAGAGAGUUGAUGAUGGAAAGAAACCUAAAGGAGCAUAAUCCAAAAAGCGGAAAAAGUUAAUCCUCUUCAUCCACCCAGGAUUAGCCUGCCCAUCCAACAGAUCCAUGACUUUGAUAUUAGCUCUCUGGAAGCAUUAAAUUAAUUGUGAAAUUUUUUUCCUAAGGAGAAAGGAUGAAUAUUUGUUUUAAAAAUAAAACAAAAUAGGGGCGCCUGGGUGGCGCAGUCGGUUAAGCGUCCGACUUCAGCCAGGUCACGAUCUCGCGGUCCAUGAGUUCGAGCCCCGCGUCAGGCUCUGGGCUGAUGGCUCAGAGCCUGGAGCCUGUUUCUGAUUCUGUGUCUCCCUCUCUCUCUGCCCCUCCCCCGUUCAUGCUCUGUCUCUCUCUGUCCCAAAAAUAAAAAAAAUAAACGUUGAAAAAAAAAAUUAAAAAAAAAAAAAUAAAAAUAAAACAAAAUUAAGACUAUAUACAGUCGGAAGAAGACAGAAAUGGUAGAAGAAAGAAGAAAAUGAAGAGCAGAAAGCAGAGGAGAAGUAGAAAGAGAAGGAAGAGAAGAAGGGGAAGGAGAAGAAGAAGAAAUGUAGAAAUGGCAAUUACAUAAAAUCAAAAAUUUUUUUUGAAUUUCAUUUUCAUCCUCUAAAUUCUUACUUAUAACCAUUUAUCUCUCCAAAUGGCUUUUAAAAAUCAGGAUAAAAGUUGGUACUAUAUUUAUUGAUUUUUUAUAUCAAUAAUCACCUCUAAUUAGGGUUCUUCCUUUGAGUUUCUAAACAAAGAUAAAAAUUAUAACUGUUUAAAAAUACUACUUCAUCUUCAAUCCAGUAGAGGCCAUUCCAUAUAUUGAGUAAAUUUCAAUAGCACAUACAUAGUAUCUGUACAUACACUUGAAGAUUACAUGAAAUAAUAUACACACAUAAGAACAAUUAAGCACCCACUGUAUAUAUGAGAAAUGAAAAUGCGCUGGGUGAGGAAAAGCUUCCAGAAGUAAGAAAACUCAACCUGGAUUCAUACACAAAGAGACAUGUAAAGCUUGAUGACUGUCUGCAGUACUUCUAGUUUUGUGCUGAUAAUGUAAAUGUUUUUAAAACAGUAUCACAUAGGGGGCACCUGGGUGGCUCAGUCUGUUAAACAUCUGACUCUUGGUUUCGGCUCAGGUCACGAUCUCACAGUUUCAUGAGUUCAAGCCCCACAUCAGGCUCUGAGCUGGCGGUGCAGAGCCUGCUUGAGAUUCUCUCUCUCUCCCUUGCUCUCUGCCCCUCCCUCACUUAUUCUGUCUCUGUUUCUCUCAAAGUAAAUAAAUAAGCUUAAAAAAAAACCUUAAGUACAUAUUAUAUGGAAACAGGCAAUUGAUAAAAAACAUAAAAAUAUAUAAUAUGCUAUAUGUUGAGAAAUACUAAGGAGAAGCCUAACACAGGGAAAGUAAGUAGAAAUUAUGUGCAGGGGGGUUAUUAGUUAAAUUAGGUGGUCAGAGAGAGCCUCACUAAACAGAUGGUAUUUGAGCUAAGAUUUGGGUGAUAAGGAAGGAAGCCAUGUAAAUAUUUGGAGGAACAGCAUUCCAUGUAGAAGGAACAACAUGAGCAGCACUUCCCAGGGCAGAAAAUGCCUAGAAUGUUUAAGAAAUAGCAAGGCGAGCUGUGCACCUAGAAGAGAGAGGAGAGUAACAGGAGAUGAAGUCAUAGAGUUGAGGGCAUAGGUGGACAUGGGCUUGCCCAUGCUUCUAAUGACGGUCUUUACUGUUAGUGAAGUGAGAACACUGGAGGAUUGUUACCAGGAAAGUGCAAUUAUCUGUUUAUGGUGGAGUAUUUCGUGGCUAGUGUGUCGCAGGGAGAACAACACCGAUGUGGAGAAAGCAUUUAGGAAGCCAUCAUUGCAAUAGGUGAGAUGGUGGCUUAGACAAGGGUGAGCAUAGCAAGAAAUGUUUGGAUUCUUGACUCUAUCAUCAAAUUGUUAACUGCUCAGUUAGGAGAAAAAGUCUGGAAAACAUUAAAAGUAUUUUCUAAAAAAAGGUGGGGGGUGGGGAAUAAAUCAUUUGUUUCUUAAACUCUAGCUUAGAACAAUAUGAAAGCUUUUAGCAACUAUUUUGUUAAAGGCAUUAAGAUUAAAUUUCAUUCACAGCCCAUGGUACCAUGUUUGAAACAGAGAAGAUGCUCAAAAAUAUAUCCUGAAUUGAACUGAAUUGAAUCAAGAAAUUAUCAGAGAAAAAGAAUGAAUUCCAGUCUUAUGCCUGCAGCUGGCUUAAACCUGAAUAUCAGAAAGAAAAUGUUCAGAAUUUCUCCCUAUUUUUCUACUGUCUUGUUCAAGUUCCCAGCCAGACUUAUUCCAAGUGUGGCCCCCUGGACCAGAGCAUCAGCACAAGUGAGAGCUUGUUGGUUAUGCAAACCUUAGGUGCCAUUUGCAGACAUCCUGGACCAGCAUCUUGGGAGGUAGCCCAAGAAUCUGUGUUUUAACAACCUUGCAGGUGAUUCUUAGGAGCACUGAAGUUUAAGAAGAACAGUUCACAACUAUCCUCAAAAUCAAAUUCAGUUAUUUAUUACUACCCAGAAUAGGAUCCUAGACUCAAAACCAGAGUUUUUAUUAAGGUAUUUUUAAAUCCAAAGAUCACUAAAUAAUUUAUAUAUAAUAUAAUCAUGCAAUUUAUAAAUACACAUAUGUGUAUGUGUAUGAGUGUAUAAUCACCCCAGGUAUACUUUCAGACUGGCCGUCACCUGACAGCCUUGGUUAGCAAAGCUAUAUCUAUGACACUUGUUCUUCUAGGACCUUUUGAGCCAUCCCAGAUACCCUGCACUCUAAGAAUGACUUCAAGAAGCAAAAGACAGAAGCAGCCCUAUUGGGAAAGCCUUGCUUUUUAUCUCUUUCUAAGCAAGCUAUUAUACAAAGUGAAACAAUAUAAACAAGAUUUGUUCAUUUGCUUAUUUGAUUGUUUUAACCAGGAAAGAUGAUUGUUUAUAAAGGCUUUGCUUCUCAGCUCUUGGAUGUUCAGAGUAAUGAAGUGGAGAGGUUGUAUGCAGGCUUUGGGAGCUGACAGAUCCUAGUUCGAAUCCUGGUUCUGUUUAUUCUAGCCACGCAAACUCGGUCAAGUUGCCUAAUCUCUCUGAGUCUCAUUCCUCAUCUAAAAAGUAAGCUGGAGGGUAGUCUCUGUGGUGCAAUUGCAAUUGGCUAGCGAAUUGGGCUGUGAACUGAAAUGCUGGUGGUUCAAUCCCACCCGCGCAAGUCUGGAAUUAUACAGUCUUGGGGCAAAUGGCUGGCUCAGUCGGUUGAGCAUCAGACUCUUGAUUUCGGUUCAGGUCAUGAUCUCAAGGUUCUGGGAUGAGCCCUGCCUCAGGCUCCACACUGGGCAUGGAUCCUGCUUCAGAUUCUCUCUCUCCCUCUACCCCUCCCCUGCUCUUGGUCUCUCUCUCUCUCUCUAAAGUAAACAAACAAACAAAUAAUAAGAAGUAAACAAGACACUACGGUAAUAGAUUGGUGUGUGACACAAAUGAAGUACUCAACAAAUUUGCAUUCCCUACUUCUAUCUAUAAUCUGUCAGUAAUUUUUAUUUCCAGCCCUUUUCCCUACAUGCUAGAACUGAUGUAAAAAAUAACCUUCCCUCCACCCACCCACAAUGUGAUGCAUUGAGGAAAUACUGAUUUGGGGAAAUGUGUAGCUUAAAUGUCUUUAAUGCUGGAUUUCCAGAUUCUCUUCCCCCAGAACCACCCAUGGGGAAAAGGAAGAGAAACCACUUCCCACAGCUGGGGCUUUCCUCAUUUCCAAAGCUGCAGAAUAAUCACAAUUCCCAAAGGAAGCAUGCCAGGCUUGGAGGCUCUCUUUUCUACCAGGAGAGCAUUUAAUAGUUCUUUCAACAGGACAGGCCUUCAGCCAUUCUCCAUAUUAUUUAUCUGUAACCUAUUACUUUUAAGUAAAAUCUUACCGUUUUACAAAAUAAAGAACAUUAAUCUUCUACACUCCA